UCUACACAAGUAUGCCUACUUGAUCACCAGGAUGAUUCAGAGCUUGUGUAGAACAACUAAAUAAUGUCAGCGGUCUUACUGAAUGAGGCAGCUGCAAGUAACAAAAUGAAGGAAUUCUUCAUUUUUAGCUUGUAGUGGCUUUGCUAUGCCUCGUUUUAGCUGAAUU
ncrna:length=1036